rnacentral:rRNA from 1 species
CCUACGUGAGGCAGCAGUAGGGAAUCUUCCACAAUGGGCGAAAGCCUGAUGGAGCAACGCCGCGUGGGUGAAGAGGGUCUUCGGAUCGUAAAACCCUGUUGUUAGAGAAGAAAGUGCGUUAGAGUAACUGUUCACGUUUCGACGGUAUCUAACCAGAAAGCCACGGCUAACUACGUGCCAGCAGCCGCGGUAAUACGUAGGUGGCAAGCGUUAUCCGGAUUUAUUGGGCGUAAAGGGAACGCAGGCGGUCUUUUAAGUCUGAUGUGAAAGCCUUCGGCUUAACCGGAGUAGUGCAUUGGAAACUGGGAGACUUGAGUGCAGAAGAGGAGAGUGGAACUCCAUGUGUAGCGGUGAAAUGCGUAGAUAUAUGGAAGAACACCAGUGGCGAAAGCGGCUCUCUGGUCUGUAACUGACGCUGAGGUUCGAAAGCGUGGGUAGCAAACAGGAUUAGAUACCCUGGUAGUC